rnacentral:piRNA from 1 species
UUAAUAAUAAAAAUUAAAAUA